GAUGAACGCUGGCGGCGUGCCUAACACAUGCAAGUCGAACGGAAAGACGAGGAGCUUUUUCUUCUGCCGGUAGCGGGGGGCGGGUGAGUAACACAUGCAUCACCAACCUCUAUUUCUUGGGUAAUAUCGGGAGAACGGAUCUAAUACUAGCGCAUAUCUUCAACCGCUUGAUGCAGUGGUUCAUGACGGUUUUGCUGUCACUAUUAGCUGGUUCCGCGCCGGAUUAGCUAGUUGGUAAGGUAACGGCUUACCAAGGCGACGAUGCGUAGCAGACCUGAGAGGAUGAUCGGCCACACUGGAACUGAGACACGGUCCAGACGCCUACGGGAGGCAGCAGUAGGGAAUAUUGGGCAAUGGGCGGAAGCCUGAUGAAGCAACGCCGCGUGGGUGAUGAAGGUCUUCGGAUUGUAAAACUCUUUUGUUGGGAAAGAACAACUGCAGAAUAAUCUAUGGAUGUCUUGACGGUACCUAAACAAAAAGCACCGGCUAACUACGUG
rnacentral:rRNA from 1 species